GGUUCGCUUCCGGGUGAGAGUGGCGAACGGGUGAGUAAUGCGUGACCGACCUGCCCCAUACACCGGAAUAGCUCCUGGAAACGGGUGGUAAUGCCGGAUGCUCCGGUUGGAUGCAUGUCCUUCCGGGAAAGAUUCUAUCGGUAUGGGAUGGGGUCGCGUCCUAUCAGCUUGAUGGCGGGGUAACGGCCCACCAUGGCUUCGACGGGUAGCCGGCCUGAGAGGGCGACCGGCCACAUUGGGACUGAGAUACGGCCCAGACUCCUACGGGAGGCAGCAGUGGGGAAUAUUGCACAAUGGGCGCAAGCCUGAUGCAGCGACGCCGCGUGCGGGAUGGAGGCCUUCGGGUUGUAAACCGCUUUUGAUCGGGAGCAAGCCCUUCGGGGUGAGUGUACCUUUCGAAUAAGCACCGGCUAACUACGUGCCAGCAGCCGCGGUAAUACGUAGGGUGCAAGCGUUAUCCGGAAUUAUUGGGCGUAAAGGGCUCGUAGGCGGUUCGUCGCGUCCGGUGUGAAAGCCCAUCGCUUAACGGUGGGUCUGCGCCGGGUACGGGCGGGCUGGAGUGCGGUAGGGGAGACUGGAAUUCCCGGUGUAACGGUGGAAUGUGUAGAUAUCGGGAAGAACACCAAUGGCGAAGGCAGGUCUCUGGGCCGUCACUGACGCUGAGGAGCGAAAGCGUGGGGAGCGAACAGGAUUAGAUACCCUGGUAGUCCACGCCGUAAACGGUGGAUGCUGGAUGUGGGGCCCGUUCCACGGGUUCCGUGUCGGAGCUACGC
rnacentral:rRNA from 1 species